AUCUGGGCGGCGGAAUUCAGGAUGGCUGGCGGGCUUCGYGCUUGUCCGGUCGUUUGAUAUUUCYGUCGCCGUGUCGGACGUCGCGACCUGUUCRUCGUCGGUCCCUGCUCGGAGGAAUCGCGAUCGAGUUCGUUGCGCGGUGCGUUUCGGCGUGCCGAGCGGCGAAGACGCGGCUCUCUGRCUGACGGCGGACAGUAAGCAACGGUGUYCGGCGUCGUGUCUCGCACUCGRCGCCGGUGCYGGUCUGCGACGAUUUCUUCGGGCCUCUUUCCGACCCGUCUUGAAACACGGACCAAGGAGUCUAACAUGCGCGCGAGUCGCGGGGUUYCGAGCGUACCACGGUGCGCUCGUUACUUGCGAAACCCGUACGUUGAAGGCGUAAUGAAAGUGAACAGGGAAGAUGGCGUUCCGAGUCCACGUACCGUGAUCGUGUGUCGCGGCCGGACGUCCGCACUCCCGGGGCGUCUCAAURGCUCGUCGCGGAUGCGGACGGUCGUCUCUCGGGGCGGCUGUCGRUCUGYGACGGACAGAGGCGCACCUAUAGCGUGCACGUUGGUACCCGAAAGAUGGUGAACUAUGCC
rnacentral:rRNA from 1 species